rnacentral:rRNA from 2 species
UGGAUCCAGACUUUGAUCAUGGCUCAGGAUGAACGCUAGCUACAGGCUUAACACAUGCAAGUCGAGGGGCAGCGGGAUUGAAGCUUGCUUCAAUUGCCGGCGACCGGCGCACGGGUGAGUAACGCGUAUCCAACCUUCCGUACACUCAGGGAUAGCCUUUCGAAAGAAAGAUUAAUACCUGAUGGUAUGAUGAGAUUGCAUGAUAGCAUCAUUAAAGAUUUAUCGGUGUACGAUGGGGAUGCGUUCCAUUAGGUAGUAGGCGGGGUAACGGCCCACCUAGCCUACGAUGGAUAGGGGUUCUGAGAGGAAGGUCCCCCACAUUGGAACUGAGACACGGUCCAAACUCCUACGGGAGGCAGCAGUGAGGAAUAUUGGUCAAUGGACGAGAGUCUGAACCAGCCAAGUAGCGUGAAGGAUGAAGGUCCUACGGAUUGUAAACUUCUUUUAUAAGGGAAUAAACCCUCCCACGUGUGGGAGCUUGUAUGUACCUUAUGAAUAAGCAUCGGCUAACUCCGUGCCAGCAGCCGCGGUAAUACGGAGGAUGCGAGCGUUAUCCGGAUUUAUUGGGUUUAAAGGGAGCGCAGACGGGUCGUUAAGUCAGCUGUGAAAGUUUGGGGCUCAACCUUAAAAUUGCAGUUGAUACUGGCGUCCUUGAGUGCGGUUGAGGUGUGCGGAAUUCGUGGUGUAGCGGUGAAAUGCUUAGAUAUCACGAAGAACUCCGAUUGCGAAGGCAGCACACUAAUCCGUAACUGACGUUCAUGCUCGAAAGUGUGGGUAUCAAACAGGAUUAGAUACCCUGGUAGUCCACACGGUAAACGAUGGAUACUCGCUGUUGGCGAUAUACUGUCAGCGGCUUAGCGAAAGCGUUAAGUAUCCCACCUGGGGAGUACGCCGGCAACGGUGCAACUCAAAGGAAUUGACGGA